UUGCUCCUGUGAUUAGUGGCGAACGGGUGAGUAACACGUGAGUAACCUGCCCCUGACUCUGGGAUAAGCGUUGGAAACGACGUCUAAUACUGGAUACGACUGCCGGCCGCAUGGUCUGGUGGUGGAAAGAUUUUUUGGUUGGGGAUGGACUCGCGGCCUAUCAGCUUGUUGGUGAGGUAAUGGCUCACCAAGGCGACGACGGGUAGCCGGCCUGAGAGGGUGACCGGCCACACUGGGACUGAGACACGGCCCAGACUCCUACGGGAGGCAGCAGUGGGGAAUAUUGCACAAUGGGCGAAAGCCUGAUGCAGCAACGCCGCGUGAGGGAUGACGGCCUUCGGGUUGUAAACCUCUUUUAGUAGGGAAGAAGCGAAAGUGACGGUACCUGCAGAAAAAGCACCGGCUAACUACGUGCCAGCAGCCGCGGUAAUACGUAGGGUGCAAGCGUUGUCCGGAAUUAUUGGGCGUAAAGAGCUCGUAGGCGGUUUGUCGCGUCUGCUGUGAAAUCCCGAGGCUCAAACCUCGGGCUUGCAGUGGGUACGGGCAGACUAGAGUGCGGUAGGGGAGAUUGGAAUUUCCUGGUGUAGCGGUGGAAUGCGCAGAUAUCAGGAGGAACACCGAUGGCGAAGGCAGAUCUCUGGGCCGUAACUGACGCUGAGGAGCGAAAGCGUGGGGAGCGAACAGGAUUAGAUACCCUGGUAGUCCACGCCGUAAACGUUGGGCGCUAGAUGUAGGGACCUUUCCACGGUUUCUGUGUUGUAGGUAACGCAUUAAGCGCCCUGCUUGGGGAGUCCGGCCGCAAGGCUAAAACUCAAAGGAAUUGACGGGGGGCCCGCACAAGCGGCGGAGCAUGUGGAUUAAUUCGAUGCAACGCGAAGAACCUUACCAAGGCUUGACAUACACCGGAAACGGCCAGAGAUGGUCGCCCCCUUGUGGUCGGUGUACAGGUGGUGCAUGGUUGUCGUCAGCUCGUGUCGUGAGAUGUUGGGUUAAGUCCCGCAACGAGCGCAACCCUCGUUCUAUGUUGCCAGCGCGCUAUGGCGGGGACUCAUAGGAGACUGCCGGGGUCAACUCGGAGGAAGGUGGGGAUGACGUCAAAUCAUCAUGCCCCUUAUGUCUUGGGCUUCACGCAUGCUACAAUGGCCGGUACAAAGGGCUGCGAUACCGUAAGGUGGAGCGAAUCCCAAAAAGCCGGUCUCCAAAGGUUUCG
rnacentral:rRNA from 1 species